AAACGAGUUAUCUGAACCUUCGGGGAACGAUAACGGCGUCGAGCGGCGGACGGGUGAGUAAUGCCUAGGAAAUUGCCCUGAUGUGGGGGAUAACCAUUGGAAACGAUGGCUAAUACCGCAUGAUGCCUACGGGCCAAAGAGGGGGACCUUCGGGCCUCUCGCGUCAGGAUAUGCCUAGGUGGGAUUAGCUAGUUGGUGAGGUAAGGGCUCACCAAGGCGACGAUCCCUAGCUGGUCUGAGAGGAUGAUCAGCCACACUGGAACUGAGACACGGUCCAGACUCCUACGGGAGGCAGCAGUGGGGAAUAUUGCACAAUGGGCGCAAGCCUGAUGCAGCCAUGCCGCGUGUGUGAAGAAGGCCUUCGGGUUGUAAAGCACUUUCAGUCGUGAGGAAGGUGGUGUAGUUAAUAGCUGCAUUAUUUGACGGUUAGCGACAGAAGAAGCACCGGCUA
rnacentral:rRNA from 1 species